UGGGUGGAUUAGUGGCGAACGGGUGAGUAACACGUGAGUAACCUGCCCCUGACUCUGGGAUAAGCGUUGGAAACGACGUCUAAUACUGGAUAUGACUACCGGCCGCAUGGUCUGGUGGUGGAAAGAUUUUUUGGUUGGGGAUGGACUCGCGGCCUAUCAGCUUGUUGGUGAGGUAAUGGCUCACCAAGGCGACGACGGGUAGCCGGCCUGAGAGGGUGACCGGCCACACUGGGACUGAGACACGGCCCAGACUCCUACGGGAGGCAGCAGUGGGGAAUAUUGCACAAUGGGCGAAAGCCUGAUGCAGCAACGCCGCGUGAGGGAUGACGGCCUUCGGGUUGUAAACCUCUUUUAGUAGGGAAGAAGCGACUGAGUUUACUCUGAGUGACGGUACCUGCAGAAAAAGCACCGGCUAACUACGUGCCAGCA
rnacentral:rRNA from 1 species